rnacentral:rRNA from 1 species
CCUACGGGUGGCAGCAGUAGGGAAUAUUGGACAAUGGGCGCAAGCCUGAUCCAGCAACGCCGCGUGAGUGAUGAAGGCUCUCGGGUCGUAAAGCUCUGUGGGGAGGGACGAAUGGGCUCGGAUGAAUACUCCGAGAAGUUGACGGUACCUCCUUAGCAAGCACCGGCUAACCACGUGCCAGCAGCCGCGGUAAUACGUGGGGUGCAAGCGUUGUUCGGAAUUACUGGGCGUAAAGCGCGAGUAGGCUGCAGAGUAAGUCUGACGUGAAAUCCCCGAGCUUAACUUGGGAGCUGCGUUGGAAACUGCUUUGCUAGAGUUCGGGAGAGGAUGGUGGAAUUCCUGGUGUAGAGGUGAAAUUCGUAGAUAUCAGGAGGAACAUCGGUGGCGAAAGCGGCCAUCUGGACCGAUACUGACGCUGAGUCGCGAAAGCGUGGGUAGCAAACAGGAUUAGAUACCCUUGUAGUCC